GGGGGAGGGUCAGAGAGAGAGAGGGAGACACGGAAUCCGAAACAGGCUCCAGGCUCUGAGCUGUCCGCACAGAGCCCGACGCGGGGCUCGAACUCACAGACCGCGAGAUCAUGACCUGAGCCGAAGUCGGACGUCCAACUGACUGAGCCACCCAGGCGCCCCAGUCCUUCAGUUUCUCUUCUGAAACUGAAAAGAUUUUGCAGAGUCGCUUUGAACAUUGAGCUAGUUAGGUCAAGUGGAAUUUCCCCAACUAUAGCCCUUGAGAAUUAGAGAAUGUAUCAUACCUGCAUGUCUAGGGUGAUUUGAGACAAGCCUUCCUUCUAGGCACCAGUCUGUACCUAACUCUUCUGAGCCCACGACUAUAUCGCCUUGUCCGUUGUUGCUACUGGAGAGAUUUCAAAUGGUGAGGUGACAGAUUUGCCUCUCCUGAGUUGACGGAGACAUGCUAGGUGCAGGCUUCUAUUUUGUGUUUCGGAUUGGGGCUAGUUCAAGAGGUAGUGAGGGUUUGCCACAGAGUACACAUUAAUUUAUCACUUCCAUGCCUGACGUUUGCUGAGGUUUUUAGAUUGGGGGGAUUCUAGCCCUCCUUGAAAAGCUAACGAAACUUAGGAAAUUCUUAUAAAAAAGCACAUUUUACGUUCAUUUUCAGUAGCUUCAUUGAAACCACUGGUCUGUGGCCCUCCUGUUCUGUUCUUUUGAGGGAUAUCAAGACAACCUGUCCACCAGAGAGCUUGCUAGCCCACGUUCUCAGAAGGUCCUGUCCUCCCAUCUGGGACCAUGAAGGUCCCGGGGACGCUGUGCUGAAACUGAGGAACGUGGUCCUUGCUCUCGUGGCUUCAGGAAACGGGCUAGGCAACACAUAGGGUUUAUUUUUGAGAAAGAGACAGGCAGAGCGUGAGCAGGGGAGAAGCAGAGAGAAAAGAAGGCAUAGAAUCGGAAGCAGGCUCCAGACUCCGAGCUGUCAGCACAGAGCCUAACGCGGGGCUCAAACUCACGAACCGCGAGAUCAUGACCUGAGCCGAAGUCGGACACUUAACCGACCGGGCCACCCAGGCACCCCUAGACCGAUGUUCUAAUCAAGACUUCCAAGAUUGUGAUAGAUGGUGUCAUCAAAUCAUCUGCCACUUCUCUCCACCACGCUCCAGAGAGGGUGGGUAGUGCUCCGUGCCCUGGUGGCACCAGGCCUGUCCAUGAAAUGUCAGCGGGAAUGAAGUGUACUGCUUCUGAGCAGAGGUUCGGGGGACAUUGCGAGGGUCAGUCAGGGCUUCUUCCCUCAGCAUGAGGCUAGUGCACCCCAGAAUGAAGGCUGCCCUGUAGUCUGGCUCCAAGAUCGACGAGAACAGGGAGCAGAGCUGCGGCUGUCCUGCAGUGGGCAGAGAAACAAGACUUGGGGGGUGUACUACUGACUUAGUCUGAGCGGACUGGCACAAAGGUGGGCAAUCCCAGGUGAGGGUAGGUCCCAGGCGUGGCAUGGAGUGAGCAGUUCAAGCAUCAUGGAAGAGGAGUUUUUUGAUGUUGAGUUGGUCAAUGAGGAAGGGUCCUGUGAGGCUGGGGGUGUUGGAUGGGUCAUUCCUGUGGCAUCGAUAUCACCCAGGAUGUUGGCAGGAUUGUGGGAACCCAAAAUCAAUAAUGAGUGAGCAAAAUAUCUGGAAGGUAAGCAGAUGGCACUAUAAAGUCUCAAAAGAGCAGAGAUUUCUGUGUGGAGGGAUAGUAGUCUGGAUGCGGUCAGGGAGGCCCGUCUUCUCUACUGAAGGUGCAUGGGGUUUGAAGAAAUGACUGCCAAGGUUCCUUGGGGGAAAGCCAGGUAUCUAUCAAUCAUCUAUUUAUUUUUGAGAUAGUGUGAGCAGGGGAGGGGCAGAGAGAAAGGGAGACACAGAAUCUGAAGCAGGCUCCAGGCUCUGAGCUGUCAGCAUAGAGCCUGAUGAGGGGCUCGAACUCAUGAACUAUGAGAUCAUGAGCCGAAGUCAGACACUUAACCGACUAAGCCACCCAGGUAUCCUUUAAGGCUUAAAAAAACAGAGGAAAGCAAAAGAGUAUAUGGAUGCAGGCAGGGGGAUGUUUACCAUGAAACAGUUCAUAGAGUCGUAGUUCGUAACUUGCUUGGGGUCAAGGGGUGGGUGCUCUGGAUCGCCUCUUGAGAGAAAGGAUAUACACGCAUGUAAAAUCUUACGUGCAAACCCAGGAGGUUUUGACUACAGUUUAAACUAUAACUAACGAAUGCAUUUGGUCUGGGUAACCCCAUCUUGCCUCCUCGCACUCUGGGACUCUUCCCUUCAUUGUUAACCUUUAAAAGAGUCACUGGUGGGAAAUAAACUAUGCAUUCGAAUCAA